UGGGCGAAGGCCAUACAUAGGGCAGCCAUCGUGCAGUCGAGGCGGACAGAUGGGAGCUUGCUCCCUGAAGUCAGCGGCGGACGGGUGAGUAACACGUGGGCAACCUGCCUGUAAGACUGGGAUAACUUCGGGAAACCGGAGCUAAUACCGGAUAACACCGAGGACCUCAUGGUCCUUGGUUGAAAGAUGGCUUCGGCUAUCACUUACAGAUGGGCCCGCGGCGCAUUAGCUAGUUGGUGAGGUAACGGCUCACCAAGGCGACGAUGCGUAGCCGACCUGAGAGGGUGAUCGGCCACACUGGGACUGAGACACGGCCCAGACUCCUACGGGAGGCAGCAGUAGGGAAUCUUCCGCAAUGGACGAAAGUCUGACGGAGCAACGCCGCGUGAGCGAUGAAGGCCUUCGGGUCGUAAAGCUCUGUUGUUAGGGAAGAACAAGUACCGUUCAAAUAGGGCGGUACCUUGACGGUACCUAACCAGAAAGCCACGGCUAACUACGUGCCAGCAGCCGCGGUAAUACGUAGGUGGCAAGCGUUGUCCGGAAUUAUUGGGCGUAAAGCGCGCGCAGGCGGUUCCUUAAGUCUGAUGUGAAAGCCCACGGCUCAACCGUGGAGGGUCAUUGGAAACUGGGGAACUUGAGUGCAGAAGAGGAAAGCGGAAAUUCCACGGUGUAGCGGUGAAAAUGCGUAGAGAUGUGGAGGAACACCAGUGGCGAAGGCGGGCUUUCUGGUCUGUAACUGGACGCUGAGGCGCGAAAAGCGUGGGGGAGCAAACAGGGAUUAGAUACCCUGGUAGUCCACGCCCGUAAACGAUGAGUGCUAAGUGUUAAGGGGUUUUCCCCCCCUUAGUGCUGCCACUAACCCAUUAAGCACUCCGCCCUGGGGGAGUACGGCCGCAAGGCUUAAAACUCCAAAGGGAUU
rnacentral:rRNA from 1 species